CUCCCCAGUAGGAUUAAAGUUGCUUUAACAGCAUGGCAGUAAAUAGUUGUUGAAUGAAUGAAUUUCUUAACGAAAGGAUGAAUGGAUCUAGCAGUACCUUAUUAUGGGCUCCGACGGCACUUAAGCCACCUCUGAGAGGGGACUAGUUUUGGGGUUCGCGGCCAACCGCACCCCCUCCGAGGGUGCAGAUCUGAUAGCUCGGGUUGGCUUCGGCAGCGCCCCUUUAAACCGGCCGCCUGCGCCGGUUGCAGGUCGGGCCCUCCUGGCAUCGCUGAUUUAACACGAAGUCUCGCCCAGCGCAGCGAUUUCCGGGGCGGUGUCAUUGCCCAUUUAAGAGUGGAAAGCCCCGCCCCGGGGGCGGAGCGUGGAAGAGCUUUAAGGGGCGGGUCGGCCGGCCGCUGGGGUCCUUAGAGGGGGUAGUGCGCGGCUGCUGCGGGGCUCAGGCCGCCAUUUCUCGCAGCCUCCAGAGAGUCGUCCUCUCUGCGGACUCGCUCCAGACCUCUCCCGUCGCGUCGUCGGCGCCCCGCGCCCCCUUCGUCGCUGCAUUGUCGUCCCCGGUCUAGUGACAAAAAUGCUGAGCUUCUUCCGAAGAACACUUGGGCGUCGGUCAAUGCGUAAACAUGCAGAGAAGGAGCGACUCCGGGAAGCUCAGCGAGCUGCCAUACACAUUCCUGCAUCUGGAGAUGCUAAGUCUGUCAUCACAUGUCGGGUGUCCCUUCUGGAUGGCACUGAUGUUAGUGUGGACUUGCCGAAAAAAGCCAAAGGACAAGAGCUGUUUGAUCAGAUUAUGUACCACUUGGACCUUAUUGAAAGUGACUAUUUUGGACUGAGAUUUAUGGAUUCCGCACAAGUUGCACAUUGGUUAGAUGGUACAAAGAGCAUCAAAAAGCAAGUAAAAAUUGGUUCACCAUAUUGUCUGCAUCUUCGAGUUAAAUUUUAUUCCUCAGAACCCAAUAAUCUUCGUGAAGAGCUAACCCGGUAUUUAUUUGUUCUUCAGUUAAAACAAGAUAUUCUCAGUGGAAAAUUAGACUGUCCCUUUGGUACCGCAGUGCAGUUGGCAGCCUUUACUCUGCAAGCUGAACUUGGUGACUAUGAUCUUGCUGAACAUAGUCCUGAACUUGUAUCAGAGUUCAGGUUUGUGCCCAUUCAGACGGAAGAGAUGGAGCUGGCUAUUUUUGAGAAAUGGAAGGAAUACAGAGGUCAGACACCAGCACAAGCUGAAACCAAUUAUCUGAAUAAAGCCAAAUGGCUAGAAAUGUAUGGGGUUGAUAUGCAUGUGGUCAAAGCUAGAGAUGGGAAUGACUAUAGCUUGGGACUAACCCCUACAGGAGUCCUUGUGUUUGAAGGAGAGACCAAAAUUGGCUUAUUUUUUUGGCCCAAGAUAACCAGAUUGGAUUUUAAGAAGAAUAAAUUAACCCUGGUGGUUGUAGAAGAUGAUGAUCAGGGUAAAGAGCAGGAACAUACAUUUGUCUUCAGACUGGAUCAUCCGAAAGCAUGCAAACAUUUAUGGAAAUGUGCUGUGGAGCAUCACGCAUUCUUCCGUCUUCGAGGUCCUGUACAAAAGAGUUCUCAUCGAUCAGGAUUUAUUCGACUAGGAUCACGAUUUAGAUACAGUGGGAAAACCGAGUACCAGACCACAAAAACCAAUAAAGCAAGAAGAUCGACAUCCUUUGAAAGAAGGCCCAGCAAACGAUAUUCUCGACGAGCCCUACAAAUGAAAGCGAGUAUAGCAAAACCUGAAGAACUCAGUAUUCACAAUAAUGUUUCAACUCAGAGUAAUGGCUCCCAACAGGUUUUGGGUAUGAGAUCUACUCUGCCUACGAUUCCUUCUGUACCCUCUGGUCCUGUGCUGGUGGAGAUAGCGAAUCUUCCACGGAGUCCUGGAACAGACCAGCAUGGCAGGAAAUGGCUCUCUGCUGCCAGUGACUGCUGUCAACGUGGUGGAAACCAGUGGAACACAAGGGCCUUGUCCCCAUCCCAGCCUGCACAUAGAAACUACACUGACUUUGUCCAUGAGCACAAUGUGAAGAAUGCAGGAGUCCAUCCUGAUGUUCAUUUUCCUGGCCAUGCAGCCAUGACUGAGAUAUGAGGGUUAACACUUAGGCACUGGGACUGUUUGUCAUGUAAGCUGAUGGUAUACAAGUUGAUGGUAUAUAUUUUCUAGUGUUUGUAGAGGAUUGGCCACAUCAGGAGAACUUGGGAGAAGUUACUUUAUAUUGUGUCACUAGUUGUGUCGUGUUUGUAAUUAAAUUCUGUGAAAGGGAAAAGGAUCUGAGGAAGCUAUGAAGCCAUCAAUGAUAAUGACAAUGUUUUUGUGCUGGAAAUAAUACGUGUACCAUUGUAAUUUUGGGAGGGUUUUAACAUCUCAGAAGAUGUCUCAGGAGAAGGUUUAUGUUUGUCAGCAAGCUGCCCACCUGCCCCAUGCCAUCCAAAUAGACUGAGGUUAAAAGAAUCAAUCAGACACACUUAAAGCAAACUCAAUAGGAGGCAUGUCCAGAUGUAAAUAGAAAAAGUCAAGAGACAGUCAUCCCGUGUAGUGUGGCAGGCUCUCAUGGUGGGAGCAACAAUCAUUUGGACCAUGGUACUUUGAUUCUUUCGGUUGGGCCAUAUACUCUUUUUCUAGUCCAUAGUUCAAAAUAAUGGAAAGGUCAUUAUUUUCUUGUGUUAAUUAAUUUCUUUGAAUAUUGGGUUUAGAAGUAAUAAUAUCAAAUUGCAUUUAUUUGUUUUUUUUGUCCUUGAUUUAUAUGGCUUGUCAUAUAGAUUUGCAAAAAUAAAUUCAUCUUAUGCCAAAGACACUUAAUCUCUUCAGUGCCACAUACUUUUAUCCUGUGUUUUAAUAUAAAUUAUACCACAUCAUCAGUUAUACCUUGCCCCAGAAUUGUUUUGAAUGCUUUCAUGUGAGAUGCUUUUAUGUAAGGGAUAAAAUUUGAAGAUGCUUCUGUGAGGAGGACACAUCUGUCUCUUUCUCUCUGUGUGUGCUUCUAUCUCAUGUAUAAAAUAUGAUUUGUCAGAUCCUUUUUAGAUAUUAUGAAUCUCAUAGUCCCUUUUUUGAAGAACAUAAAAAUUUCUUAUCCUCUGUUCAGAUAUAUUAACUUUAGUCACAUGAAGUCAUUGUGAGAAUUUUCUCUUGCUCAGUUGACAUUAACCUUGGUGGUAUAGACAUUAGGACACAAAGCCUGUAACUUUCUAUGGAAAACAUGUUAUGUAACUUAAUUUCUUUCUUCGAUUCUUGGCCAUUGCUAAUGUAUGAUACACUUUAGCUGCUUUGAGCUCUUUGGAUUGGUGGGAAAGAUUAUAAUAUCAGAAAAUUAGAGCUAAUUCUCAGAGAAUUCAUGAAGAGAAAAUGCUAGAAGAAAUAGGUAAAAGGACAAAAAAUCUUCUGUAGUUUUUUAAUGAUACAUUUUAAUUUUUGUCCUGAAGCAGAAAAACAAGUGUUCCUGUUUUUCCUGAACAAAUUUUUUAUUAUUGGAUAAUUACCUAAGCCUCUGUGUUCUUAACAAGAAGCUGUGGCCUUAAUUCUAGGUGAUGGUGCUUGAGUGACCUUUUUCCAUUUUGUUCCUGACAGCUGGCCAGUAUUUUGUUUAUAUUGGCAAGGAGAAGAGGUAUGCUACUCGGAGAACAACAUUCUCCAAGGAGUGUGACUGAAGACUCCCUUAAUGUAAUAAACCUCUGCCGCCUCCUCUUAAAAACAGGUUCAAGAGCUACAGAUCAUAUUUUUUGUUGUUGAGGGAAUUCUUGUUUGUUUUGUUUUUAAUUAAUUGUAAUGGAAUGAGAUUAUACCAGUGAAUGGUUAGGAUUUGUAAGAAGUUGCAGAUUGCUUAAUAAAGUUCUGACUGAUGACUGGUUAUUGUCAAUAUGAAAAAGAUUUUAAAUUAUUAGGGGUGGAAUAAAAGAAAAGAAUGAGAGAUGAUAAGUAAAAUACAAUAGCUGGUCUGUUUUGUAUCAUAGAACUAGUUAGAGGAGCAUCCAGAGAAAUUAGGGAAAAUAUCCCAGGAAAUAAAAUACCACUAGAAUAUACACCAUUACACAGAAGAGUUAGUUUCUUGAAACAAAGCUGGGCCAUGAGCCCAGCCAUCAGCUUCAUGGAUUGUUUAAUUAUAAACUCUCUGGGAGUUUGGAGAUAGAUUUAUGUUUAACAAUUCAUAUUAAUUCUUUCUGGGGACACUGUCAGCAAAACCUCUGGAAGUCUUUACCAAGACUUGGGAAGGUCAAGACUUACCCAGAUUACCACUUUGAUUAGAAUUCAACAGAUGUGUUGGAGCAAUAGCUGUUCAUAGUGUUUGAGUAGGUUGGAAAGGCACUGAUUAUCGGUCUGAGGAGUUUAGAUUUGGUAAGGAGGCAUGGGGCAAUCAUGGCAAGUUUUUAUGUGAAAGAUUUUGGGAGUUUUGUAUUCACAUAUCCUUUUUUGAUUACCUAAUUAUUGGUCAAAUACUUAACAAAGUACCUCCUUUUUCCUCACUUCCUUAAACACAGUCACUUAUAAUUACACCCUUGAGUGUCCCCUCAAAUUUCUUGACCAUUCCCCUGUUGUACGUAUCUGAUUCAAUCCUGGUCAAAUCCACCUCUGUCCACUGUGCAUGUAAAUGAUGAAUGUGAAAUGUGAAAUUGUUGAAUGGUCUCACUUUAAAUUCUAAAGUCAAGUGUGUCUUCAGUGAUACCUGAAAUCCUGUCACCUUUCCUUAAUCUACUCAUUCUCCCACUGUGCUGGCAAUAAUUUCUCCUCUUUCAGACCACCACCACUUCUCCACUCCUCACUCUCAGCUAAUGACAUUGCUUCCUGUUGUAUUGGGAAAAUAAGCAAGCAGAAGAGGUCUUCUGUACUCUUCCACCAUCCUAUUGAUUAACAAACCAUUUGGUCAUACCUGCUGUCUUCCCUGCUCUUGCUGUAGGAGUAUGCAUUUACUUAAGGCCCACCUCUCCAUUUAUCUACAAGAUCUUGACUCUUGGCUACUCAAGAACUUUAUUUCUGCAAUUCUAUUUUUCUUGUUCUACAGCGUUGGGCUUCCUUCUCUCCUAGAAUAUUCUCAUCAGCAUGAAAACAGCCUGUGAUAUCUCACAUCAUAAGAAAAGAAACCCUCCCUUUAAUCCACCUCCCUUUUGGUUAUUCCCUCAUGUCUUUGUUCCACUGAUAGGUAAACUCCUUGCCAUGGAAGAAUUUUCUAUACUCACUGUCUCCUCUGUCCCUUCUCACUCUAUUUUGAAUCCACUCUAAUCAGACAUCGUCUCUGCCAACUAAGCUGUUUUGUCUGAUUGUGCAGGUUAUGCACUGCACAGGACUGCCACAUUCAGGACAGUCACAUAUUUAUGCCAGUGGUUUUCCAGCAGAUGGCACUAAAUUUCAUUUUUUUCUAAUGAAAUCAAUACGAGUUUUGCAAGAAUGAAAGUAAAGUGUCUUCAUUGUUUAAAUCCAUACAAAUGUUCUACGUGAGCUAGUAAUGUUAUGUUACCACUCUACCAAAAUAGCUUUUGUUCACAAAUGUUCCCCGUAUUUCUAAUCCCACAGUCAACCUUCAAUUUACUAGCAUUCAGAACAGUUGCUCACCACCUUCUUCAUGAAAAGUUUUCCUUUCUUAGCUUAAGUACACCAUCCUCCUUUGUUGUUUUCCUACCUCACUAGCCAUCAUUUUAGCCAUCACUAACUAAACCUUUUUAGUUUCUCCUUAUCUCCCUAACCCCCUAAACUUUAUCUUAGGACCUUUUCUGUAACAACUUAUUUCCUUGCUAAUCUCAUAUAGUGUUAGGAUUUUAAGCACCAUACAUACACUGGCAAUUUUCCAAUUUCUGUCAUCAGCCAGGAUCUCUGUAUUUCCAGACUUACAUAUCCAACUGCCUUUAUGACAUCUCUACUUAGAUACCUAAUAUAGGCAACUUAAUCUUUAAAAACUUUAUUUUGAAACAAUUUUGGGAUUACAGAAUGUUGCAACGAUAGUGCAGAGAAUUUCCCACACCCUCCCUCAUUAGCUUCCCCUAAUGUUACCAUCCUACAUAACCAUGUAUAAUGGGACAAUUAUGAAAACUAAGAAACUAACAUUGGUACACUACCACUAAACUUGGACCUUACCAGAUUUCACCAGUCUUUACAGAAAUGUUCCAGGAUCUGAUCCGAGACCCUAUGUUGCGUCCAUCUGUGACAUUCAGGCAUUCUAUUUCUUUGACCACAUUUUGAAGAAUACUGGUCAGAUACCUUGUAGGAUGCCCCCUAAUUUGAGUGUGUGUGAUAUUAUCCUGUGAUUAGAUUAAGGCCAUGAAUUUUGAGGAAAAAUACUAAAGGUGAUAGUUGGGACUUCUCAGAUUUAUUAUAUUCAAAAUGGGGCUCCUGGUUCAGUUUUUCUUUUAAGGGCAGUUUUUCCUAGCUCAGUAAUCAGUUCUGUUUCUCCUGUUGGUAGACUAGGAAAGUCUCAGGCCGCACUCCAUAUCUACUGAAUCAGAGACACUGGAGCUGAGGCCCGACUACUUUAGCAUGCCUGCCUGGAGAUUCUGAUAUGUACUGGAGUGGGCAAAGCACUGGCCUAGAUCGUAGCACCUAAUAACCAUCUUGACUUCUCUUUGUCUCUGCCUAUCAGUCAGUAAAUUCUGUCCAUGCUUUCUUCAAAAUGUAUGGAGAAUGCACCACUUUUCGCCACCUCCACUGCCCCCAUCCUAUUUCAGCUUAGCAUCAUCCAUGACCUUUUACUUAACCUGGCCUCCCAGCCAUCACCCUUGCUCCUCUGCUGUCUCCUCUCCCCCUUGACAGCUGUGACAAUUGUUAACCUAGAUCACGCCAUUCCUCUGCUCUGUGUUCCAGGGUCCUUAUCUCAGACUAAACCCAAAAUCUUCAUAUUGGCGAAACAAAACAAAACAAAACGAUUUUUCUCACCCCCUUAUCUUCUACCAAUUUUGACAUAAUUGACUUGCCUCCAAAGAUGUGCUCAGAUAUACCAAGCAUGUUGCCUCUCAGGAUCUUUGUACUUUUACCUCUGCCUGAAUACUCUUCCCUUGAAUCUCUUAUGGUUCAUUCUGACACCUAUAGGUUUCUUAUCAAAGAAACCUUUCCUGACCUCUCUGUAAAAUAAUCAUGGGCCCCCCACUCUCCCUGGUAUUCCCUGUCUACCUUUACCCUAUGUUUUUCCUCACCUUACUUCAUCUUACAUGUUUACUUGUUUGUCAUCUCUGUAUUCUUCAAUAAAAUGUAAACUUCAUCAAGGGAGAGCAUUUAUUUUGUUUACUCCUCUAUCCCCAGAACAGUGCCUGGCUUGGCACUCCAUAAAUAUUAUUCAAUUGGCUGACUAAAUGAAUACCAAACACAUCUUGGCACACAUGGUGAUGCAGAAAUAGUCAAAAUGCUGCCCUUCAGUUCAAGAAAUUUACAUUUAAAUUGUGGAGAUGACGGCUUCACAAAUAACUGAUACAAGUGCUAAGUCAUGAGGCAAGCAAGGUCAGAAGAGUAGUAGAGGUUGAAUUUAAGGCUUCAUGACAUUUGCCUCAAUUUUUGAGGGAUACAUAGAAGAAUCAGGAACAUUGGAUGGUAAGUCAUUAGGAACUAAGCUAUAGCAAAAGAAAAUUUGAAAGUAGCAGAGCACAGGGUUUAGUUGAGGAAUGAUGAAUAGGAUUUGAGUAAUGAGGAUUGAAUUCAUGGGGAGAUACAGUAAUGAUAGCUGGCAUUGAGUGUUUCUGUGCCUGACAUUGUUCUGGAGUAAACAUUUACUCCAUCCAGCAAAUUGCUUAAUCCUUAGAGGAAUCUCUAAGGUAUUUAGGCCAGUGAAGAAAUGAAGGCCUUACAGUAAAGGGUGUGUAAUUUGUCCAGAGUUGCACUGCUAGUAUGUGGUAAGGCUGGGCUUCAGACUCAGGUAGGUCCUAGAGCCCAGACUGCCAUCUGCCUACUGUACUGACUCCAUACAGUGUAAAGGUGGUGGGGCCUAGACUGUGGAGAGGAAAAAGGGGUAUAAUAACAGUUCUGCUUUAGGAAGAUAAUUCUGAGGGCACUAUGAAGAAUGAAUGUCAACUGGUGGAAGAUUGGGUAAUUAAAAUUUGCUUUACCCAUACUAUGUAGUGGUUAUAGAAUAAGAAAAAUUCUUCAUAUUGCUGUUACUGGAUUAUGUCAGCAAUACACUGUUGAGUUACAAACAGGUUCCCAUUUUUGUAAAAAAUCAUUAAGCUAUGUAUAUAUUUGUAAAUGCACAGAAAUGGACCUCAAUAAACUGAGUUUUUAGAGGGGAGAUAAAGGAGACAUUGCUUUUCUUAGCAUGUACUACUUUAAAUAAAAGCAAACUUCCUCAAAUGUAGUGGGGAACAAGACAAAUUGCCUCAUUUUGUAUAGGUUUCCAUGAAAAAGGAGAUGGACAUAAAAGGUUAUGUCCUUAAAUAUUCCUUUAUACAGUCUUGAGAAAUGGACGUGUACUGGGACAUUGUCAAAGCCAAAGAUUGAAAAUGUAAUGUCUAUCUUCAUUUUUAAAACUUUUAUAAAGUUUACAGUCCAUCAGUUUUUAGCAUAUUCACAAAGGUAUACCACUAUCACCACAAUAACUCCCAAAACCUUUUCAUCAUCCCCCCAAAGUCUCUUACUCAUUGGCAAUUACUUCCUAUUCCCUCCACCGAGGUCCUGGCAAACACUGAUCUACUGUCUUUAUGGAUUUACUCAUCCUAGAAAUUUUCUGUCUGUAGAAUCCAAAUAUGUGGCCUUUUGUAUCUGGUUUCUUUCACUUAGCAGAGUGUUCUUGAGGUUCUUCCAUGUCACAGCAUGAAUGAGUACUUGAUUCCUUUCAAUGGUUUAAUAUAUUACCUUGUGUGAUACACAGCAUUUUAUUUGUCCAUCAGUCAGUGGACAUUUGGAUUUCCACACUUUGGUUAUUGUGAAUAAUGCUGCUAUGAACAUUCAUGGACAGGGUCUUUUUUUUUAUGAACAUGGGUUUUCAAUUCCUUUGGGUAUAUACAUAGCAGUGGAAUUGCUGGGUCAUAUGGUAACUAUGUUUAAUGUCUUAAAAGUACUCACCAAAUUGUUUUCCAAAGCAGCUGCACCAUAUUUCCAUUUCUACCAGCAAUUUUGUUGUUUGCCUUUUUCAUUAUAGGCAUUGUAGGAUGGUGGCUCAUUGUCGUUUUGAGUUGCAUUUUCAGGGGGCCAGUAAUGCUUGAUUUUUUUUUUUCAGUUCUAUUAUUUAUUUAUUAAAUUUUUUUUAUUAAUAUCAUUGAUAUACAAUCUUAUGAAGGUUUCACAUGAACAACAUUGUGGUUACAACAUUCACCCAUAUUAUCAAGUACCCCCCACAAGCACCCCAUUGCAAUCACUGUCCAUCAGUGUAGUAAGAUGCCACAGAGUCACUACUUGUCUUCUCUAUGCUAUUCAGUUCCAUUAGUUUUGACAAAUACACAACCAAGAUACAAAACAGUUUCAUUACCCCCUCAAAAUUCCUUUGUGUUACUCCUUUGUAAUUAGCCCUUCCCUUAACCUCCAACUCCUGGCAAAGCCAGGAUCUGUUCUCUGCUGUUGUAGUUUUGCCUUUUCCAGAAUCAUGUAAAUGGACUCACACAAUACAUCUGGCUUCUUUUAUUUAACAUAGUACAUUUGAGAUCCAUCCAUAUUUUUGUAUCAUUGGCUCAUUCCUUUU